GGCUCAUUGGUCUAACGGUUUAUGACGCUACCCUGUCACGGUAGAAGCAGGAGUUCAACUCUCCUAUGGGUCG
rnacentral:tRNA from 1 species